rnacentral:sRNA from 1 species
UGUCAAAAGUACCUUU